CAUCCCGACUUACCAACCCGAUGCAAACUGCGAAUACCGGAGAAUGUUAUCACGGGAGACACACGGCGGGUGCUAACGUUCGUCGUGAAGAGGGAAACAACCCAGACCGCCGGCUAAGGUCCCAAAGUCAUAAUUAAGUGGGAAACGAAGUGGGAAGGCUCAGACAGCCAGGAUGUUGGCUUAGAAGCAGCCAUCAUUUAAAGAAAGCGUAAUAGCUCACUGGUCGAGUCGGCCUGCGCGGAAGAUGUAACGGGGCUAAAUUAUGCACCGAAGCCGCGGCAGCGAUAUGUAAAUAUUGUUGGGUAGGGGAGCGUUCUGUAAGCCUGUGAAGGUGACCUGUGAGGGUUGCUGGAGGUAUCAGAAGUGCGAAUGCUGACAUAAGUAACGAUAAUGCGGGUGAAAAACCCGCACGCCGGAAGACCAAGGGUUCCUGUCCAACGUUAAUCGGGGCAGGGUGAGUCGACCCCUAAGGCGAGGCUGAAAAGCGUAGUCGAUGGGCAACGGGUUAAUAUUCCCGUACUGGUGGUAACUGCGAAGGGGGGACGGAGAAAGCUAAAUCAUCCGGGCGACGGUUGUCCCGGUUUAAGCGUGCAGGUGGACUGACCAGGCAAAUCCGGUCGGUUGUUAACACUGAGGCGUGACGACGAGCCACUACGGUGGUGAAGUGAUUGAU
rnacentral:rRNA from 1 species